rnacentral:rRNA from 1 species
AUGGCUCAUUAAAUCAGUUAUCGUUUAUUUGAUAGUACCUUACUACUUGGAUACCUGUGGUAAUUCUAGAGCUAAUACAUGCUAAAAACCCCGACUUCGGGAGGGGUGUGUUUAUUAGAUAAAAAACCAAUGCCCUUCGGGGCUCUCUUGGUGAUUCAUGAUAACCUAACGGAUCGCAUGGCCUUGCGCCGGCGACGGUUCAUUCAAAUUUCUGCCCUAUCAACUUUCGAUGGUAAGGUCUUGGCUUACCAUGGUUUCAACGGGUAACGGGGAGUUAGGGCUCGACUCCGGAGAAGGAGCCUGAGAAACGGCUACUACAUCCAAGGAAGGCAGCAGGCGCGCAAAUUACCCAAUCCCGACACGGGGAGGUAGUGACAAUAAAUACUGAUACAGGGCUCUUUUGGGUCUUGUAAUCGGAAUGAGUACAAUUUAAAUCCCUUAACGAGGAACAAUUGGAGGGCAAGUCUGGUGCCAGCAGCCGCGGUAAUUCCAGCUCCAAUAGCGUAUAUUAAAGUUGUUGCAGUUAAAAAGCUCGUAGUUGAACCUUGGGCCUGGCUGGCCGGUCCGCCUCACCGCGUGUACUGGUCCGGCCGGGCCUUUCUUUCUGGGGAGUCGCAUGCCCUUCACUGGGUGUGUCGGCGGACCAGGACUUUUACUGUGAACAAAUUAGAGUGUUCAAAGCAGGCCUUUGCUCGAAUACAUUAGCAUGGAAUAAUAGAAUAGGACGUGCGGUCCUAUUUUGUUGGUUUCUAGGAUCGCCGUAAUGAUUAAUAGGCUCAGUCGGGGGCAUCAGUAUUCAAUUGUCAGAGGUGAAAUUCUUGGAUUUAUUGAAGACUAACUACUGCGAAAGCAUUUGCCAAGGAUGUUUUCAUUAAUCAGUGAACGAAAGUUAGGGGAUCGAAGACGAUCAGAUACCGUCGUAGUCUUAACCGUAAACU